rnacentral:lncRNA from 1 species
AAAAAUCUAGCUAAACGAAGAAAAUCAUUCCAAUACACAUGGCUUCCGAAAGAGAGGUGAAGCUGAAGGCACCUCGAUGAGUACGCACGCUUUAGUAGCUGUCACCCAAAGAGAACAGUUUGUAAUUAAUGUUGAUUCAGAGGAAAUGGUAAAUACCAUAUUUUUGUAUCAGACCAAAUAAAUAACAAACAACUGAGCUCAGUAGUAGAAGAAGAUAAGGGAAGGAAUCAUUCAUCAAGUUUGGCAACAAAAGACACCACCGUUUCACAGAUACGCAAAUCUGCAAGACAUGGGAUGGUACUUGCUAUUUUCGCUUUCGACCCAGUUACCAAAUCACUAACCCAUCUCCCAGGAUCAUUCUUUUUUUUUCCCCUUAAACCUCGUUUCACCACUAGCACUUAAACAAAAAGACAAAAAAAACCGUAAUAAAUUAACGUUGUAUGUAAAUUGCAACAGAGAUAUUUUUAUUUUUUAAUCUUCAACUAGAGUCCAUCCUACUCAAGUCAUGCUAUUGAUUAUGUUAAAGUAAUGUAUUUUGGAUGAUAAUAUAAAGAAAAUGAAGAAGUGAAUACAUACACGAACCAAAGAGCCUCGAAAGGCGGCUUGAAUCUUGACGGCAGCCCAUUCUUCUUGAGACCUCUAUAGGAAUUGAAAACCACAUAUUGCAUCAAAUAAAUCUCUUCCCCGUAACCAUCCAUAACCAUGACUACAAAUUCCAACUUUGUGCAAGUGUUAGUUACUAUUUAUGAAUUAGUUUGAUAUUAAAAAUUUGUAAAGAAAUAACAAUAUGUCUUCAAUUUAUGAUUUUUUUUUUGUAAAAAUUGUAUAUAUUUUAUUUCUUGUGUGAUUUUAUAGAGUAGAAAUUUUAUUUUUGUAACCUGAUGUUAAAUCCAACUCAAUUUGUAAAUCAAAGAAGAGAAGGUGUAAAAAAUUGUUGAUGACUCACUUAGCGAGGCAUAUUGACUAAGUGAGACUCGUCCACUUAACGAGGCAUCCAGCUUGCUUAGCGGAUGAGAAAUCCUAUAAGAGGAUAAGUCGGAGAUCUACACGCUUAACGCACAGCUAGUCCGUCCAGUAAGGACGCUGUCUUUUCUCGCGCUUAGCGGAAUUUCACUUAUUCUCGCUUAGCAAUACAUGUUCGUUGAGCAAGCCUUUGGAAGCUGAAAAGUUCAAGAGCCUUUAAAACACUAAGGUUGGAGGAACUCAAGAGACAUAACCGAUCAAGAGCCACAAGGAGUGCCUAGCUUCGUAGAAAACAGAGAAAUUUAGGGUUGAGAGACUGGAGAAAACAUUCUCUAUCAUCUUCUUCCAAUUUCUUUCACCAAAAAAUAGUUUCUUGCUUGUAUUUUGAAGUUUUGCUUGUAAUGGAAUGCUAGAGCCUCUUUGUUGGGGAGUAACUAUUGAAACUCUUGAUGUAAUACUCUUAUUAUCUAUUUAAUGUUAUUUUCUAGUGUUCUUUGCUUUUAUUUGUGCUUAUUGUAUAUGCUUGUGGCUUGAUCAUCCACUUGUAUGUGUAGUUGGGCUUUUUAGUAUUGAAAAAUGCCUUAAAACCUUAGAACUUGAUAGAGUAAGCUAAAAAUCAGUAUGUCUAGGAAUGAAGUGCAAUGAUCUAGUGCAUUUUACACGGUAUGCGAGUUUGUUGAGGAAUCAAGAACAAAAACUAAGAGAGUUAGACUCAUUCAUGUGAGGAAUCAUGGUCUGAGUAUUUUCUCAGUGUAAGAACACUAGAAUAACGUUAAAUAAAGAAAAACUCUUUUAUACAGCAAGAUAAAUUUCAGUAGGAAACUUCCCAACGCGUUUAUCUUGAUAGUUGUCACAUUUUAUAGCUUUGGGUAUUUUGUUUUUGUUCAAGUAGUUCACUAGUAAAGAAACUUGAUUCACCAUUCAAUAUUUAGUUUAUUUCAAGCUUUAAAAGUGUUUACAUAUUGAAUAUACAUAGUCUAGGUAAAACAAACUCUCUGUGAAUACGAUACCCGAUCUUACCGUUUUAUACUACUUGUGCAAAUCAGUACACUUGUCGAUGGACGAACAAGUUUUUGGCGUCGUUGUCAGAAAAUUUCUAUCCAUUUAGAUAGUAUAUUUCAGUUUGGAAACAUUCACUCUUUAUUCUUUGAUUGUUUCUUGUGAAUAGUUAGAAUUCAAAUUUUAUCUCUUGACUUGGUUAACUGUUGCUUUAUUUAGUUGCUUCUUGUAUCCGAGAUAAAACUUCAACAGAGGAUUUAGUUCCAUUAAAUUUGGAGAUUGAAGUUACUUGCAAGAGAAACAACACAAAAAAGGAGAAGAAAAUCUUUAGAAGAGAGGACAAUCAAUCCAAACAUAGAGAGAAUUCUAUCAUCUGAAUCUUCGUCAUCAUUUCCAACAAAUUUAAAGAAAUCCGAAGUUGGUACAUUUGAAACUCACAUCAUGACGGAUGAGCAAAUAAAUACAUAGGAUUACUCUUGAAAACUAUCCAUGAAGAUGGUUACUUGAAUGCAUUAUAGUUGUCAGGAAUAAAGAGAAUACCCAUGUUCAUAUUGAUGAUAUGAAUCGACACAAUGAAUCUAACCAGAGACCAACGUGCCAACUGUCACACAUUGCAUCCUAUACAUUCUUGCUAUUUUAAAUAUUGAAUAAUGCGAAUCCUGUGAAGUAUAUAGAAUGCCAUCUGGAAAUAUUUCCCUCCUCUCUAUAUAGUAAAUAAGAAUUAAUUAAUAAAUCAUUAUAUUUGGGAUACUCACUAUUUGUAAUACAUGAAAAGGCUCUAGAGAUAAAGUUCAACAAAUCUGACCCCGUUAAAAUUCCAUGAAGAUUUCCUUCAGUUCCACCAGUUGUGACAUAUCCCCAAUACUCACCCUUAUCUAUCUCCCAUAGGUUAGCAAACCAAUCAAGCACGCAAACUUCAAAUUUUGAUGAAUUUAAAUUAUAGCUACUCCCUAUAAAUGGAUCACAAGCAUUGUUUAGGUUAGAAUGACAUAAUGGUGCCAGUGCAUCAUAGCCGAAGUCUUGAUUAGUGGGGUAACCUGUUUUGGCGCGGCAUAUAAGUUAUUAGUGAAGCUGUUUUUUUUAUAAGCUACUGCAUUAGUGAAGCUCUUGAAACUAUCUAUCUAUCUAUCUAUAUAUAUAUAUAUAUAUGUCACGUUCUUCUUUAGGUCCAUUCUUUCUGUGUUUAACAUGUAUCGAAAGUGAUACAUUUUUUUAGUAAAACAAUAUAAAUUACCAAAUAAAAUUAAUUGGAAAAAUGAAAUUAUGAAAAAAAAUGCAUCAUAGUUGAAGUCCUGAAUAUAUUUAUAGUUCCUAAACAUUGUUUCAGGGCAUGAUUGGGAAUCCCAUUAUGAAAAAAAAAUACAUGUUUGGAGAGAGAAAAAUUAUAUUUUUAGUCCUUAACAAACAGUAAAAACAAAUUAUCUACAUAUAUAUUAUAGGAAAAAAAUAGAUACUAAAAAAACAAAAAUAAAAUAAUAAUGAUAAAAAAUAUAAAGAUCAAAAAUUAAAAUAACUAUAUUUUAAGGAACAAACAUAUUUAAAUCAACAAAAUAUGUUUUUGCAUUGAAUUAAACUCUAUUUCAAUUAUAAAAAAAAACUAAUUAAGCACACGCUUAAAAGAAAAUUAAAACACAAAAAUUUACCCAAGAAGCGCAAGUUGUGCUGAUCUAGAGUCUCGAAGUAUUGAGUAAUAUAUUAAAAACGCUUUUUCUACAUCAGUCAAAAUGAGAAUUCAAAUAUGGUGAUUAACUGUUUUUUAUUGUAACGUACAUUGUUGAAACUAAAAUUUUUUAACAUCGGUAAUAAAGUAGGCAUUGAUGUAGUAACAUAAAUUUUCUACAACGGUUGUGGCGUAGACACCAAUAUAGUAAGAUGGAUUUAUGUGAUGUAAAAAGAUAUUUAAAAUUUCAGGUUAAUUAAUAGAAAUUAUUUAUAAUGAUAAAAUUAUGUAUAUUGCAAAAUUGCAAAAUUAUCUAUAAAUAAAAUUAUAUAAUAUUAAAAAAAAUAAAACCUGAGAAUGAGUAAUAAAAAUUAUCUAUAUUACUAAUAAUGAUAUACUAUUAUUAAUAAUAUUAUGUAUAUUACUAAUAAUCAAUAAAUAUAAUGAUAUAAUAUUAAAUUAAUUAACUAAAACCUAACGGAGAUGAGUAAUAAAAAUUAUCUAUAUUACUAUUAAUAAAAAAUAUAAUUAUAUAAUAUUAAAUUAAGUAAAACAACCUAAGUAUCAAUGAUAUAAUUAUGAACGAUAAAAAUGAAUCUGUUUUUUGUUUGAAUUUUUUUAAUGUGCAGCUAAGUCAUUAAGGCUUAGUGGUAUUUCUUUAGCCCAACAGACAAGGAAAAAUCCAAAUGGAUUGAGGCCGAACAGGACUACAGGAUACUGGUUCAUUGAGGUAAUAAUUAAUAAUAAAAAGUUGCUUAUGACUUAUGAGACCUUAUGGAAGAAUACCCCCACAAUUACCCAUUUUAUUUUUGAAUUAAAAUAGUAGCUAGCAAUUACAAAUGAGUAAACCUACUUUGAAUCAGAAUACCCCACAAUUAGCUAAAGAUUGGCCCGUUCCAGGAUACACACUCUUUCAUGAUGUUGUUGAAUAUUUUUAACUGGCUUACAGAUUGACCCUUCAUUUAUGUGUCAAAUUUCAAUCUUCAAUAAAAUCAAAACAUAUAUAACAAGUAAAAGAAACACUGCAUGACCCUUCAUUUUGGUUGAAAGAACUAGUUUGUUACCAUUGAAAGAAUACUCAAUACACUACAAAAAAAGGCACUAAUUUAAAUUCUAUACCUGUAUUUGAUUAUUUCCAUUGAUUGGGGUUGUUCCUUUAAGAAGCUCAAAUAAUAUUGCACCAACACAUAGUCACCAUCAAUGUAGGAGAAAUAACAUGCACUACUCAUGUCAAGUUUCAAGAGUUAAAAUGGGUUUAGAACCCUAAAUCAUUGGAGGUGAUGUAGGGCAAGUAUAAGAACCAAUGUACCUCGUAUUAUAUGCUUGUUAGUUGAAGCCCACGACGGCAGUAUGGUGGAGGGUAGGUUUCUAAAAC